rnacentral:miRNA from 7 species
UAUCUAUUAAAGAGGCUAGCC